rnacentral:lncRNA from 1 species
UUGAACUCAAUUGAACAUGGACACAAACAAUGGUCACUAAGUCCUGAAACAGGUUGAGUGAGCCCCUUGAGGCAUUCAUCCAUCGCUGUUUCAGAGAAAUCUCUAUUUCAAUCUAUUCUUACACGUUAGUUAUUAAAAAACAAUAGACAAUCGCAAAAACAAGUUGUGACCUUUUUGUGUUCCUUAAGCCCAGUCACGAAGGGCACUCGUGACUGGGUCUCAUGCCAAACAACUUGUUACGAAAACAGCUAGAGUCCCAGACUGCACCGAAACUUCAUGAGACCUUCCCUCGCUGUGCACGGACAAGUGUCUGACUCUGGAGCCCAGGCUGUUGCUUCCCGGUCUGGUGAUGAAUCCUCCAUAGUUUGAUGAAGGAACAGAAUGAAAGUCCCACAGUUGAGAGCCAAGAACAGGACCUGGGGGGUACACUGAUUCCUAGUACACAGUUGACUACAGAACAACAACAACAACAACAAAAUAAACCAAGUACAAUGGGAAAAACUGAAGAAAAUAGUUAAGUGGGACAAAGGCAACAAAGUAGGCAGAAUCACAAGAAGAAAGAAGACCAAGGGAAAAUUUCAAGAACAUUUUUUAAAGUAAGAAAGCAUGGAAGAAAUGACUGAAUAUUAUAAAUAUAGGAUGGUCCCUGUUUUGCUGGAAUAGCAGUCUGAAACCAUCAUUUAUCUUGGUCUGGGUGGAGCUGAGGUCUGGGAAUUCCCAUAUAAGGUAGUUUGUUCAUGCUUACUUCCUCAAGCACACAUUACACCUCCUCAUCUGAAAAAGGCACUGGAAGAAAAGAUUCUUUGGGAAUGACAUCCACACAUACAUUAAAGGCUGUGGUUUCCACUCCUAAUGGUUAGUAGAUUUGCCAAGACACAGCAUCCUCGCAACCCCCACCCAAAUACGGUUCAGCAUCUAGCAGUCAACACCACAGGGCCUUCCUGUGGUCACGACUGGCAGUGGUGAUAAAGGUCGGUAUGACCUUACUGCUCUCCAUAAAUAGCCCUUCAGUCAGUAAUGUCCUUGCAUGAUAUGGUCACAUUCUUUCAAGAGCAGCCCUGCUUUUAUGUAUGGUACCUUCCUUCCACAGAGCUUUCCAUCUCAGGUGAAGCUGCUUUCUUGCCCCACCAUAAUUCCUCUCAAUGACUUCAAAGCAGGGCCUCUACAUUCGAUUUUUUUUUAGGAUGAGUCUGUCUACCUUUUUUUUAGAGCUAUGCUGUCUACUUUGGUAGCCAGUAGUCACAUGUAGCAACUUGAAAUGUGGCUAGUCUGAAUUCAGAUGGACUUUAAAGUACCCACUGAAUUCUCCUGGUAACUUUAAAAUGCUGAUGACAUGAUAUGUAUAUAGCUUGGACAUGAUGACAGUUUGAUAUACUGGGUUAAAUUAAACAUAUUAUUAAAAUUAA